rnacentral:rRNA from 1 species
GACGAACGCUGGCUACAGGCUUAACACAUGCAAGUCGAGGGACCGGCGCACGGGGGAGUAACACGUAGCCAACCUCACCUUUACUCGGGGAUAGCCUUUAGAAAGGAAGAUUAAUACCCGAUGUAAAGGAUGGAGAUGCGUUUAGUGAGGUGGUUGGUGAGGGACCGGCUCACCAAGCCUUCGAUGGAUAGGGGUUCUGAGAGGAAGGUCCCCCACAGUGGAACUGAGACACGGGACAACCUCGUACGGGAGUGAGCAGGGAGGAAUAUUGGUGAAUGGACGUUAGACUGAACCAGCCAAGUAGCGUGAAGGAUGAAUGCUUAUGGGUCGUAAACUUCUUUUAUAUAAGAAUAUGUAUUAUAUGAAUAAGGCUCGGCUAACUCCGUGCCAGCAGCCGCGGUAAUAC